UACGUAGGGUGCAAGCGUUGUCCGGAAUUAUUGGGCGUAAAGAGCUCGUAGGCGGUCUGUCGCGUCUGCUGUGAAAAUCCGGGGCUCAACCCCGGACUUGCAGUGGGUACGGGCAGACUAGAGUGUGGUAGGGGAGACUGGAAUUCCUGGUGUAGCGGUGGAAUGCGCAGAUAUCAGGAGGAACACCGGUGGCGAAGGCGGGUCUCUGGGCAGUAACUGACGCUGGAGGAGCGAAAGCGUGGGGAGCGAACAGG
rnacentral:rRNA from 1 species